AUACGGAGGAUCCGAGCGUUAUCCGGAUUUAUUGGGUUUAAGGGUGCGCAGGCGGCCAUUUAAGUCAGCGGUUAAAUCGUGGGGCUCAACCCCAUUCUGCCGUUGAUACUGGGUGGCUUGAUUGCGGUCGAGGUUGGCGGAAUUCGUUGUGUAGCGGUGAAAUGCAUAGAUAUGACGAAGAACACCGAUUGCGUAGGCAGCUGACCAGACCGCAAAUGACGCUCAUGCACGAAAGUGCGGGGAUCGAACAGGAUUAGAUACCCUGGUAGUCCGCACAGUAAACGAUGAAUACUUGUUUUCGGCGAUAUAAUGUCGGAGGCAAAGCGAAAGCGAUAAGUAUUCCACCUGGGGAGUACGCCGGCAACGGUGAAACUCAAAGGAAUUGACGGGG
rnacentral:rRNA from 1 species